CUAUCCCAAAGAAAAAUCUUGUUAAGGCUGAUUGAGGAUCAUGGCCAGUAAUUGGAAUCUUUGUGAUAUCUGUGAUAGUGGUUGGAUUACCAAACCUUCAGUAGUUUGGUGUUUUGAAUGUAAAAAAGGUUGUGUGAAGAUUGUAAAGAACCUCACACUAUUUCAAAGGGAACAGAAAACCAUGUAACAGUUUCCAUUGGCGACUAUAAGUUACCGACCGAAGUUCUGCAAAUUGACAACGUUUGCAAAAACCAUUACGAGAAAUACGAGUUUUUCUGUAAAAUACACGAUUAUCCAUGCUGUACUAAAUGUUUGAAAUCUCACAGCGAUUGUGAAGAAAUAAACGAUAUCUAUGACGUCAUACAAAACGUUAAAACUUCAAACGCCUUUUAUGAACUCGAACAAACCCUGCUGGAAAUUGUCGAGAAUAUUAAACCAAUCAGUUUUGACCGAGAAGACAAUUUAAUACAUCUAGAAAACAAGAAAAGAGAAAUUGAAACAGAAAUAAAACAAAUACGUACAAUGAUAAAUAGUCAUCUGGAUAAACUUCAAGACGAUUUGAUGAAAGAACUAUUGGCAAUUGAACAAAACAUGCAAAACGAAAGCAGCAAAAUACAGAAGUUGUUGGUUUCUCCAAAAAUGAAAGCAAAAGAGAUAAAAAAAAAAAAUACCAAGCAAACUUUGCUAACCUUAAACAGCAUGCAUCGGAGCUCCAAACUUUUUUGUCCAUGAAACAAAUCGAAAAAGAUAUUACAAUCAAAGAAAAAUUUAUUCAAUCUGUCACCAAAACUGACACCACGAACCAAGUCAAUGCCAUUCCAAAUGAACAAGUCUUUACAGGAAAUCAGAGCCAGUGUGCAGAAGUUUGGGAUGUCAAUUUCAGUUCUGAUCAAUGCGAUUUGUCCAUUCAGAAACGGAAGGACAGACAAGCUCAGAUUAUGGUAGCUCUUACAACCAGAAAUAUCGACAAACUAACCCUGAUGCUGCAGAAAAGUAUCAAUACAGAUCUGUCAAUUGUUUAUGGUUGUUCUCUGCUCCCCGAUGGAAGGAUGGUACAAAAUGUAUUCUCUGGUUAUCACCUAGCCAAAAUAAGAGUAAUGAAAUCAGACGGAUCAAAAGAUUAUGAAAUAAACAACAUUGUUUAAACGCUUGAUGUGGUAUUUAUUGGUAAUGAUUCAAUUGCUGUUACAUCUGGUAAAUCAUAUAAGAUUAAUAUAAUCGACUUAAAGAAGCAAAAACUGAAGAAAUCAAUAACAUUAAAUACAUACAAUGAGGGAGUAGUAUACAAUGAGGGAGUAGUAUACAAUGAGGGAGUAGUAUACAAUGAGGGAGUAGUAUACAAUGAGGGAGUAGUAUACAAUGAGGGAAUAGUAUACAAUGAGGGAGUAGUAUACAAUGAGGGAGUAGUAUACAAAGAGGGAGUAGUAUACAAUGAGGGAGUAGUAUACAAUGAGGGAGUAGUAUACAAAGACGGACGUUUAAUUUUUAGUUCCAGGAACAAAGGAAUAAAGAUGAUUAGUCUUAAAGAUGAUUCCGUUACCAAUGUUACCCGUAACAAACUUUCAACCUUAGCGUACGUUACUCCAUUCGGUGAAAAACUGUUUUACACAAAUUAUAAGAAUGACAUUGUCACCUGUUGUGAUUACCGUGGUAACAUUUUGUGCAGGUUCAAAGAUACACGUGUUCUGAGGUGUCCACUCGGUAUCUAUGUAGACAAUGAUGGUAACGUGUUUGUAGUUGGAUGUAGUAUUGACAAUGUGGUCGUCAUAUCUCCUGAUGGACAACGCUACAAACAACUUGUAAGUGAAGAUGGAUUGGAUAUACCUACAGUUCUGCACUAUGACACAUCUACCAAUACAUUGUUAGUGGCAAAUUUCAAUAAUCACGCAUUCGUGUAUGAUGUUAAGUGAUAACUUCUUAUUAUCAAACGUACUUAACAAAGCGUUGCAUUUGAUCUGUUCUUGUCCUUCGAAAUAUUUAAAGCCAAAUGUAUUUGCUGUAAUUCAUAUGAAGACUUCUUCUGUAAUGAAAAUUAUAAUAUUCUACAGAAACAUUGAUAGAACUGUGAUGAGAUCAUGAAAGGUUUGAAUUGUUUUCUUGGCAACAUGUUAGCAUCUUUCGGUAAAAUCCCGCCACAUUCUGAAUAUACCUGUACCAAGCCAGGAACCUGUUAUCAAGUGUUUGUCAUUUGUUGCUGUAUUCUAUAUUUGUUUUUAUCGUUCAUUGUUGUAGUAUCAAUAUGACCGUUUGUUUAUUCAUCUUAA